AAAUGUAAAUAAAAAAAUAUCCAAAAAAAAAAUACAAAGUUUAGACUCAGUCCUUCUAUAACUGCUAUUAUAAACUAUUUUUACAUGAUUAAGCAAUAUUAAGGGCCAGAUAGCAAACUCGUGGUUCUGAGUUAAUUAUAAAAGGGCAUUUUCAAGAUAUUUCAUUUAGACAUGACUGAGAGUAGUCAAUGCUUACAGUUCAGAAAUGCUUUUAGUAGAUAGAUAGUCUUCAAAGGCUUCAGAAGUCCACAGAAUACAACACUUAUGGCCAUUUCUUUAUUAAAGAUCAUUUGACUAGAGACAUGUCUGCUCCUAACACCCCCUUCUUGGUUCAAAGAAGGAACUGAGCAUCAGUGUAGUUGCUCCAGUUUGGCGAGACAACCACUAGGCAAGAAUUCCUCAAUUCAUCUACAGACAAAAAUAAUGUCUCGGAAAAUGACACACUGUGCAGAAUAGUCAACUGAUAGCUUUGUCAGGACAGAGUAAGCAGUCCUUCAUAAUCCUGCUUUACAAAGAUCUGCCAGAUGAUCCUCACCAGGAGACUGAAGACUGAUGCUCCAACGUUUUGAAGAUCGAGCUGUUCAGACCUUGACAGAGCAGUUCUCAACUUCGGAUGGAAAAAUAAAAACCCAGGAUAGCAAAAACAAUCCUGAACAAUAAAAGAACUUCCGGAGUUAUCACCAGCCCUGACCUCAAGCUGGACUGCAGAGCAAUCGUCAUAAAAACUUCAUAGCAUUGGUGUAGGAAUAGACAGGUUGAUCAAUGGAACUGAAUCGAAGACGCUGACAUAAAUCCAUGCACCUAUGGACACUUGGUUUUUGACAAAGAUGGCAAAAUCAUAGAUGGAAAAAGAAAGCAUCCUCAACCAACUGUGCUGGUCUAAGUGGAUGUCUUCACAUAGAUUUUUUUUUCUGAAAGUGUUAUAAGUGGGAGUGAAGUGCACAAUCUCUUUCUCAGCAUGUUUGGUUUUGCUCUGUAGAAAAACUAGCUAUUUUUGUAAGUUGGCUUUGUAUUCAGCCACCUUGCAGAACUCAUUGAUAAGCUUUAGAAGUUUUCCAAUAGGAUCUCAUGUAUGGUAUACCAUGUGAAAACAGGAAUUUGUCUCCUUUUUCUAUUUGUACUCCUUUAAUUUUCUUUCUCUUGUCUUAUUGCAAUUGCUAGGGUGUUGGUCACCAUAUUGGAAAGAAGUAAUGGUGGGCAGCCCUGGCUCGUACCUGAAUUUAAUAGAGUUGUUUCAAGUUUUCCCCCAUUAAGGAUAUUAUUCACCGUGUUUGUUACAUGUAGUCUUUGCUAGGUUGAAAUAUAUUUCUUCCAGUCCUGCUUUCUGCCUUCUAUCAUGAAGAGGUGUUGGAUUUUGUCAAAGGCUUUUUCUUUUAUUUAGAUGAUUGUGUAGCUUUGACUUUAAGUCAGUUUAUACAAUGUAUUACAUUUAAUGACUUAUAUAUAUAUUAAACUAUCUGUAUUAUCAGA
rnacentral:sRNA from 1 species